rnacentral:lncRNA from 1 species
GCCAGUACUGCAUGCUCACGCUUUGCUUUUUGUGCCAAAGUUAGAUGCUCAGAUUUGAAAGCUAAAAUUUAUCAAGUUUUAGCACUGCCUCUCCAAAGCCAAAUGAUAAUGGUAUAAAAAGGGUACUUUUUUUCCUCAAUUCAAAAGUAGAACUGCCACAUUAAAAUAAAUUCACUCUUCUCAAAAAAUUUAGAUAUGAGACAUUUCUCUAUCAAUGGUGUCAUUUAAAAGAUGCUAGAAAGCUUUUCCUGUCUACUCCUUCGCAUUGUGUACUAUGGAAUUGUGUCAGUUUUGCUGGCUUUUAGCUUUAGGUGUAUAUUUAUUUUCUCUGUCCCAGAUUCUAGUAAGUCUUUUUGAACUUUUGAACUGCUUUAACACAAAUACUGAUUCUUUAGAAGAAAUUAAGGUGAUCAUAUUAAAUAAAAUAGUCUUCAUCUAAUUAAAAAAAAUGUAGCACCAUUGAAAGCUACAAUCUCACUAAGCUAUUUCAUCCUGGGGACACAAAAUUAUUUUGCAUUUUAUACUACUGAAGCUCUCACACAUCUUUUUCUGCAUACAUAAUGCUCAUAAUAUGAAAGGACAUAGAAGCUUUCAAUAUUUACUAUAAUGAAAAAUGGGAAUUAAAUGCGCUCACAUUUCACCCCAGGAGUCCCAAACUCUAUGCAGCAAUUCUCAAUCUUUUGUUGCACAAUGGAACCACAUAAGGACCAAUAUAAAAAGUACCUUUGCCCUCACCCCGCCCCAGACAAAUUAAUUCGGAAUCUCUGAGAGUAAGGCAGAGACAUCAAUGCAUUUCACAAUCUUCCUAGUUGAUUGUAAUGUGGAAGCAGAGUUGAAAACACUCCUCUGUGGAAAUGGAUACUCUUGUCUAUGUGGAAGUAAAACAAAUAUAUGUUAAAGGAGUACAACCAAUUAAAGAGUAAUCCUAAAUCAGUUAUCCUAAAAGGAAAAGAAUACACAUUACCUACGCAGUCACUUCACUUACCAGUUAGUAAAAUGAGAAUAAGGGAUUUUAUAAAAAUUGACCACAUGUU